rnacentral:rRNA from 1 species
UACGUAUGGGGCAAGCGUUAUCCGGAUUUACUGGGUGUAAAGGGAGCGUAGGCGGCAGGGCAAGCCUGAUGUGAAAGCCCGGGGCUCAACCCCGGGACUGCAUUGGGAACUGCCCUGCUGGAGUGCCGGAGGGGCAGGCGGAAUUCCUAGUGUAGCGGUGAAAUGCGUAGAUAUUAGGAGGAACACCAGUGGCGAAGGCGGCCUGCUGGACGGUGACUGACGCUGAGGCUCGAAAGCGUGGGGAGCAAACAGG